AGGUUUGUACAGUGGCAAUAUUGUAAGCAAUGAAGUUUAUCUGAGACACAAUUAUUGCUAAUUGAAAACUUUUCCCAAAAAUCAACCAUGACAGCUUGAAAAAUGAGAAAAUCCUAAAAUAACAGUUUGAUAGGG